UCUCUCCCUCGUGCAAAACCCUCACGUACACUCUCCUUUCCUUUUCCAAAAUCCCUCCCGUUCCCGACUCCUUCCUCAACGCUGCCGCCAGCCGUCUCCUCCCCUUCCCGUCUCCUCUCUCACGCAAAAUCUCUUCCAUUUCGGUUCGAACAUCGCUGUUAUCGUUUCAGUUCGAACGCCGGCCGUCUCCUCUCUCAAGCAAAAUCAGUAUUGUCUCGGUUCAAAUGUCGGCCGUCUCCUUGUUUUUUUUUUUUUAUGUCGAACCGAAACGGCCAUGUCCAUUCCCUAGGGCCGCCAGCCGUCCCCUUGUUGUUUCAAAGCGAGGCACCAAACUUGCACCUUGAGCCUAGGCACGCACGCACGUGCAAUGUCUUUUUAAAAUACUGCUUCUGGUUUUGCUGCAUUGUCAAAACAUGAAGAAAUCUAAGGAUGUUUGCCUAGGGAAAAAAAAGGAAGAAAUCCUAUAGAGGUGAGGUAACCCUUCAUUUGCAGGGCCACCGCCACAAGGUUGUCACGCGGGUCCAUCUUUUUCUAUGUUUUAAUAUUUAUAAAUUUGUUGAAGGACUUUUGGAAAGGGAGCUUAGGGAGUAUUCAUGCAUGCACGCACGCAGAAAUCUAAGGAUGGAAGUUGGAUGUGAUCGAGACUUGUGUGCUUUGGAAUCUACUUGAACGGGUUUGAAAUCAGGGGACCUGCUUGAUGUUGUUGUUCCUCCACUGAUUGAGUCUAUUACUGAUGGAACGCUGUGCUUGCUGAAUGGAAGCCUCCUGUUUACGACAAUUCGAGUGGAAUAACUCUAGUGACUGUUACAACACGUAGGAACUCACCAGAUUCAGUUAGAAUUUGGAUUCAAAGAUUCAUCACAAUAAUCUUCUCAACAACAUUCUUGCAAAGAUUGAAGGAAACAAUGCAAAUGCUGGUGAUGCUAUCAUGCUGGACAAAGAUGGUUUUGUGUCCGAAACAAAUGCUCCAAACAUUUUUCUAGUGAAGAAAGGCAAUGUUCCAUAUCUGUCCGGCUAUAUAGCUGCACCAAUUUGCCUAUUAGUAGAAGGAAACAUGAGUGCUUGGAAGCUGAAAAAUAGUAUGGAAGUGGGUCAAUCCUUUGUCUCUGCAAUCCAUACAUGGAGUGUACAUGUGAAAGGGCCUGUUUAUGUAUGAAGUUUUAAACCACUCUCAAUUGCCAUUGUUGCUGCUACCGGUGUUAUUUUCCUUGGAGACGAUCUUCAUCUUGGAAGUAGAAGGCAUCGUAUCGAUAGUGAUGCUGAGUCAUCAAAGGAAACAAGCAGUGAUGGAAGCAGUAAUUCUGGGGGAGAGUAUUUAUUAACAGUUGAUUAGAUAAAAUCAAGAAUCCAUUGGAGCAAUGAAACCAUGUUGAAGCAAUUUAUUGAUUUAUAGGUUUUUUUGUAGGUUUGGUAGCAAAAUUUUGAUUGAAAGCUACUUAUUUAAAUAGCUUGCUGGUACCAAAACAUGUAUGUUUAUUUUAUCAUUGUGCAAACUGUUUACCAAAAA